rnacentral:rRNA from 1 species
CACUCCUACGGGAGGCAGCAGUGGGGAAUAUUGCACAAUGGGCGCAAGCCUGAUGCAGCCAUGCCGCGUGUAUGAAGAAGGCCUUCGGGUUGUAAAGUACUUUCAGCGGGGAGGAAGGCGAUAAGGUUAAUAACCUUGUUGAUUGACGUUACCCGCAGAAGAAGCACCGGCUAACUCCGUGCCAGCAGCCGCGGUAAUACGGAGGGUGCAAGCGUUAAUCGGAAUUACUGGGCGUAAAGCGCACGCAGGCGGUCUGUCAAGUCGGAUGUGAAAUCCCCGGGCUCAACCUGGGAACUGCAUUCGAAACUGGCAGGCUAGAGUCUUGUAGAGGGGGGUAGAAUUCCAGGUGUAGCGGUGAAAUGCGUAGAGAUCUGGAGGAAUACCGGUGGCGAAGGCGGCCCCCUGGACAAAGACUGACGCUCAGGUGCGAAAGCGUGGGGAGCAAACAGGAUUAGAAACCCUAGUAGUCCCA